UCCAUUCUCUCUUAUUCUCUCGAGCACCCUCUCUAUCUCAUCUCUCCCUCUUAAACUCUCUUUUCUCUGUGAACCACAGAGACGCUAGGAUGAAACCACACCAUCACAAAUGCUCUUCCUCCUCCAAUAUUCCUUCCACCUGGACAACUCCCCAUCCAUCUCAAACUCUCUCGCAUUCCCUGUGAAACCAGUGCAACCGUGCACAGCACCACUAUCACUGCACCACCAUAACUCUACAGGAAAAAUGGAACCUCAUUAGAUCCCCAAGUCAUCAUCCUCUAUGUCCCCCUCGUCCACCUAUGAUCUCGGUGUUUACACUCGAACUCUCUCUCUAUUCUCUGUGCACAGAAGCACUGUGCAAUCAUGAUUGGCGUGGAUUGGACAAGGGGGAGGAUUUUUCAGUUUUCUAGGAAAUGAAAACCGUGGCCAUCCGACCACUUUCAGACCAAUUUCCCAGUCAGCACGGAUAACGAAUGAGCUUCUAAUAGGCGAAAUGCAUUGCAAGGACUCUUGAUGCUACGAGAUGGGUUCGACUCGACAACAUGAUCUUGCUUACCCCGAGCCAGGACCAGUCUUUCAUGUGUAUGUUCACCUCCGCACCGCACACUCAUCUUGGAUCCAAGUAAGUGCCAGUCCUAUCGUUCAAGUUGCAUUCGGCAACUUCAACUCGUAUGUGACCACGUUUAGUGCCAAUCUUCAUGUGAUUGUAGCACUAAAGUGUAUAUUAUGAUGACACCUAGUCUUGUUGUACAAGUCUCAUUAGGCGACUUCGACUAGUGUGCUAACAUAGAUUGAUAAGCAUCAGUUCAGUUGUACAGGUCGCAUUAGGCCACUCCAACUUGUGUCCUAGUAUAGAUUGAUUGAACACCUGAUUUUACUUAUUACUGUUGAGAUAUUGUGAUGUGGCAUACUUCUGGAUUUACUGUUGAUUGCGUUUGAUUUCAUACCCAUACGUAGUAUGAUUUUCUAGAAACUAUACUUGCUUUACGGCUAGGGGUUAUAACGUUUUAAAAAGGUUUUUAUUAAAGCUUUGUUUUCAAGCCCACUUACCCUUGUUUUUCGCCCCUCCAGGUUUUAGCAGCUCAACUUUUGUAUCGGCGAAGAUUCUUGGCAAAUCUUGGUGUAGACGAAUACCUACGAUGGUGUAAUUCUCACCCUAUCUUACUGUACGGUACUUAUGCUUUGACAUCACGUGUGAAAUGACUUCAUUCCCGCUCACAGUGCACUUUUAUAUUUAGGCACUUUUAGGUUUAAAUUUAUUCACAUUGAGAGAGAUGUAUUUUCUUUUAUUAUUAAAGAGCCUAUUAUGCGACAUUUUCAUGAUACGAAACCUUGCCAGCAACAAUUGUAAUUUGUUUGUAUUGAUCAAUUAUGGAAGACAUUACUAUAUAAAGGAUUUGGUUAUUGCUAUUCUUUUGAACCUUGCACUCUUUUAACUUCGCCCCUCCCUUCGUCAAUUCCUGGCUUUGCCAUUGGUGAAGAGUGCGCAAAAGGUGGAGUAUGGAUCGUCUUCAGGAACCAGGAGGGUGAGUUUGUGGCUGGACUCUCGGUCCACAUUGCACAUGAUGCCUCUUCGUUGCAGGUGGAGUUGUUGGCAGCUAGAAAGGCUCUAUUGUUUGACAAGGAGUUGAUCCCAGAUUUUGAAAGGAUUCUGUUAUUGUUCUCGCUGCCGUGAAGAGACAAGAAGAGGAUGUGUCCACUAUGGGACCAAUUAUCAAUGACAUUAGGAGGCUGUUACUUUCAUUUCCCAAGGUGAGAGCUUCCCAUGUUCAACGGGAAGCCAAUUAGGUGGCACAUCGCCUAGCACGCGCAUGAAUUGGUAGUGAUACUGAGAUGGUGUGGUUUGAAGAUCCGCCGGAUUUAAUCAUGGAUGCUUUGUUGGAAGAUUGUCCUAGAUAGUAAUUGAUUUUAUUGUACUUUUAGGAGGAUAGUUCUCUUUGUUUGAAUGUGCGGGACACUCUUUUUCCCUUCGGUCGAGUUGUAAUCCCCGACAAGGUUUUAUCGAGGCCCAAUCAAUAUGCAAUAUGCACCCUA